rnacentral:tRNA from 1 species
CCCCGGGUGGACAGUGGAAGCGUCUGCCGAUUGCCGAUCUGUCUGAUGUCGGGACGGACAGCGGUCCGUUCCAUGCCGGGCAUCCGGGGA